CCAAAGCAAGUGGUCAGCUUCCCUGAAGUCGGCGUAACCGUGGAGCUGGAUUUCCAGUCUGAAUUCUCUAACCUUCUCAACGUGUUUGUCAUCGUCAUAGAUACAGGCUCCGUGCUGGACUGUGAGGGCACUAUCAGCAACAUCUCACCGCGUAUUUCUCAAUAUGGUGAUACCACGAGAUUCCAGAGGCAGAAUAAAAAUGGAAUGAAGAUAUCUCUGCAAGAUAUUCAGAAAUUAGAGGACAACCUUGUGGUUGACAUCACCAUCACCUUCAUCUACCCGCGGGAUCGCCAGCGCUACUUUCUCACUCAGCGCGUCGACCUUGGCCUUCCUCUCGUCUCCAAGCUGCAGCUAUGGCGACCGUCCACAGCGUUUUAUCCGCCGAGACGUGAGCCCAUGGAACAAGAGGAAUCUGA